rnacentral:ncRNA from 1 species
CAGUUAGCUUACGACUGUAUAAUGAUAAGCACUCACGAGAAGCAACCUCGUAAAAAGCGUA